UACGGAGGAUGCAAGCGUUAUCCGGAUUUAUUGGGUUUAAAGGGUGCGCAGGCGGCUUUAUAAGUCAGUGGUGAAAUCUUCCCGCUCAACGGGAAAACUGCCAUUGAUACUGUAGAGCUAGAGUACAGAUGGGGUAGGCGGAAUGUAGCAUGUAGCGGUGAAAUGCUUAGAUAUGCUACAGAACACCAAUCGCGAAGGCAGCUUACCAAGCUGGUACUGACGCUCAGGCACGAAAGCGUGGGUAGCGAACAGG
rnacentral:rRNA from 1 species